rnacentral:rRNA from 1 species
UACGUAGGGAGCGAGCGUUGUCCGGAUUCAUUGGGCGUAAAGAGCUCGUAGGCGGCUUGGUAAGUCGGAUGUGAAACCUCCAGGCUCGACCUGGAGUCGCCAUCCGAUACUGCCAUGGCUAGAGUCCGGUAGGGGCCCACGGAAUUCCUGGUGUAGCGGUGAAAUGCGCAGAUAUCAGGAGGAACACCGAUGGCGAAGGCAGUGGGCUGGGCCGGCACUGACGCUGAGGAGCGAAAGCGUGGGGAGCGAACAGG